rnacentral:rRNA from 1 species
AUUGAACGCUAGCGGGAUGCUUUACACAUGCAAGUCGAACGAGUGGGGACGGGUGAGUAACACGUGGGUAACCUCCCAUCAGAGGGGAUAACACUUGGAAACAGGUGCUAAACCGAUACUGAUGGAUGGACCCGCGGUGCAUUAGCUAGUUGGUGAGGUAACGGCUCACAACGGCCCGGAUGCAUAGCCGACCUGAGCGGGUGAUCGGCACAUCUGGGACUGAGACACGGCCCAGACUCCUACGGGAGGCAGCAGUAGGGAAUCGUCGGCAAUGGACGAAAGUCUGACCGAGCAACGCCGCGUGAGUGAAGAAGGUUUUCGGAUCGUAAAACUCUGUUGUUAGAGAAGCGGUAUCUAACCAGAAAGCCACGGCUAACUACGUGCCAGCAGCCGCGGUAAUAC